rnacentral:rRNA from 1 species
AUUGAACGCUGGCGGCAGGCCUAACACAUGCAAGUCGAACGAGUGGCGGACGGGUGAGUAAUGUCUGGGAAACUGCCUGCUGGAGGGGGAUAACUAAUGGAAACGGUAGCUAAUACAGCAUACCAUCAGAUGUGCCUAGAGGGGAUUAGCUUGUUGGUGGGGUAACGGGUCGCCAAGGCGACGAUCCCUAGCUGGUCUGAGAGGAUGACCAGGCACACUGGAACAGUGACACUGUCCAGACGCCUACGGUAGUCAGCGGGGGGGAAGAUGGGGCAAUGGGCGCAAGCCGGAUGCAGCCAUGCCGCGGGUAUGAAGAAGGGCUUCGGGUUGUAAAGUACUUUCAGCGGUGAGGCGUUACCCGCAGAAGAAGCACCGGCUAACUCCGUGCCAGCAGCCGCGGUAAUAC